GGUUCCAUCCUGGAUAGCUCAGUUGGUUAGGGUGUGGCGCUGAUAAUGCUAAGGUCGCAGGUUCAAUCCCUUUAUGGGCCA